rnacentral:rRNA from 1 species
GACGAACGCUGGCGGCGUGCUUAACACAUGCAAGUCGAACGGAAAGGCCUCUUUCGGGGGGUACUCGAGUGGCGAACGGGUGAGUAACACGUGAGUAACCUGCCCUUGACUUUGGGAUAACUUCAGGAAACUGGGGCUAAUACCGGAUAGGAGCUCCUGCUGCAUGGUGGGGGUUGGAAAGUUUCGGCGGUUGGGGAUGGACUCGCGGCUUAUCAGCUUGUUGGUGGGGUAGUGGCUUACCAAGGCUUUGACGGGUAGCCGGCCUGAGAGGGUGACCGGCCAGAUGGCGACUCACGGCGGGGCGGGCGGCGAGAGGGAGGUGGCAGUGGGGGCUGUCGGACAAGGGGGGGAGGGUCGAUGCGGAGCGGCCGGGUGCGGGCUGGGCGCGUUGGGGUGGUGUGUCGCUGUGGCUGAGGAGUUGGGUUUGUGGGUGGGUAGGGGGAAAAGACGCGCCGCCUAACUACGGGCAUGCAGCGGAGGUAAUAAGCGGAAGAGCACACUUCUGCCC